rnacentral:rRNA from 1 species
GAAUUCACUAGUGAUUAGAGUUUGAUCCUAGGCUCAGAUUGAACGCUGGCGGCAUGCCUUACACAUGCAAGUCGAACGGUAACAGGCCGCAAGGUGCUGACGAGUGGCGAACGGGUGAGUAAUGCAUCGGAACGUGCCCAGUAGUGGGGGAUAGCCCGGCGAAAGCCGGAUUAAUACCGCAUACGACCUGAGGGUGAAAGGGGGGGAUCGCAAGACCUCUCGCUAUUGGAGCGGCCGAUGUCAGAUUAGCUAGUUGGUGGGGUAAAGGCCUACCAAGGCAACGAUCUGUAGUUGGUCUGAGAGGACGACCAGCCACACUGGGACUGAGACACGGCCCAGACUCCUACGGGAGGCAGCAGUGGGGAAUUUUGGACAAUG